UAUGUCCUCGCACACCUCACAGGCUUACACUUGACGACCGCGGAGAAGGAAAAGCCCGCUCGAACUACUUGGCUCCCUCGAAUUUGGCCCAGGCCCGCGACUCUGCUGCUGUUUCUACGACGAGGACGCGGGCCUUCCACGUGAAGCCCACCGAAAUCGUCCAUGUCACCGCCGGCGGAUGGCGAGUCGGCGACGCGCCGCCGCCCCUCCCUCCCGCCCCGCCGUCGGCCGAAUCAAUACAAUAAUCCGUCUCAUCCUCGCUCCCUUCCUCCCACAUACUGGCCAUUGCGCGCGGCGGCGGUACGGUAACUGAUGCGUGGCCUUCAGAUCAUGUUGCCUGCUUACCUCUACAGGAAAGAGUUUCAGCAAUGCCUGCUGCUCCAUCCACGUCAUACGUAGCGUCUGAACCUCUUUCCCUUGUUGGCAUGGACACUGCAUCCGUCUCCUUGCCCCAGAGAGAAACUAUCACCGAGUUCAUCUUCAUCAGCAAAUUCUCUUCGUACCUCACAGACCAUGAGUGGAGCUGUAUUGUUCGUGCUGCUGGCACCCCAGUCAAAUGUUAUAAGAGUAGUUCUACAGGUUACAUCUGAAAGGCUGAAGGGUAAAGUUCUUCUUCCUAUCUUCAGUAAAAAAAAGCACUGGUGUCUUGAAGAAUCAUUUGUUAAAGCCAUAUAUAGGUGCUGGCAUUUGAUUUGAUUUGCAUCGAUUGGAAUUCCAACACUAAAACUGGACAAAUAUUUCUAUCCGUAUCAAUGGUGUUUCGUCUAGUAGGUGGAUGUUUUGGCUCUUCAAGCUUGACGAAAUGCAUUUGGCAUCUAUAGCAAGAGGAAAUCCAGAGGGUGCUGUAAACAGCUACAAGAAAACAUUGUCCAAUGUAGCCACUGAGGUUGCGGUCAUGCGGAGAAACACAAUUGCAAGCUACACUGGAGAUUCCAGAAGAGAGGCUUUCACUUUGUGGACAUUGGAACAACUUACACAACUAUAAGGGCAUUCUUGAAACCAGCAUUGUAAUUUGUACCACAUUCCCUCCCUCUUAAUGAAAAACGUGCUCAGGCACGAUCGCGAAAAAAAAAAUUGUACCACAUUCCUAACAACAGUUGACUAGCUAUUCCCAUCGAAUGUUUUUCUUCAGAAAA